rnacentral:rRNA from 1 species
GACGAACGCUGGCGGCGUGCCUAAUACAUGCAAGUAGAACGCACAGUUUAUACCGUAGCUUGCUACACCAUAGACUGUGAGUUGCGAACGGGUGAGUAACGCGUAGGUAACCUGCCUGGUAGCGGGGGAUAACUAUUGGAAACGAUAGCUAAUACCGCAUAAUAUUAAUUAUUGCAUGAUAAUUAAUUGAAAGGUGCAAUUGCACCACUACCAGAUGGACCUGCGUUGUAUUAGCUAGUAGGUGAGGUAACGGCUCACCUAGACGACGAUACAUAGCCGACCUGAGAGGGUGAUCGGCCACACUGGGACUGAGACACGGCCCAGACUCCUACGGGAGGCAGCAGUAGGGAAUCUUCGGCAAUGGACGAAAGUCUGACCGAGCAACGCCGCGUGAGUGAAGAAGGUUUUCGGAUCGUAAAGCUCUGUUGUAAGAGAAGAACGGGUGUGAGAGUGGAAAGUUCACACUGUGACGGUAUCUUACCAGAAAGGGACGGCUAACUACGUG